ACUUCUGUUCCCAGUGCAGGGGAGGGGGCGGUUCCAGGUAGAGCAAGAGAGAGGGAGAGAGGUGAAGGUCACCAGGCAAUGAGAUGGAUGAGCGGCGAGGGAGUCAUGAGCCACGAGGACAAAGAUGGAGCCGGAAUGAACAGGGAGAGACUAGAGGACAGAAAUGCAGAAUACCAAUUCCAAGUUACAUGGUCCUUAUGUGUCAGAGGAGAAAGUCGACAUCUAGAACAGUUCAACCACCUGUUUAAGUUGUGAAUCAACCUCUUAAACUUUUCAUUGCUUUUGGAGCCGGAGCACGGGAAGGGUUUUCCUUAAGAAAGACUUCAUCUGAAAUGCUGCUGGUCCUCUGAUAAGAUAACUUGGAAAAGAAUCAAGUUGGCCGCCGUCUCACUUUGCUGCAGACUUUCACUGAGUCACAGCUCUGAUGGAUGAUUCCAAGUGACUGGCAGUCAAACCAGAUUGUCCCAAAUGCCAGUUGUUUCUGCCUCCUCUGACAAAAGGCUGAGCCCUGCAGCCAAGGCUAAACCAGGUGGUAGACAGGCCUGUGCUGCACCAGUCCUAGCCCCCAGGAAACCCGGGAAGUAUUCAAAGGCCAUGGCCCUACCCCAAGAUGUUUUGGGUUAAGCAUGGAAUUAUUGUUCUCCCUUCAAAGCCCCAAGAUAAAAGCUGCUCAUGAAUGCCCUGAAAGAGCAUGUGCCUUUGAUGCUGUGAGGACCCUCUCUGACUAUAUGAGUAGCACAGCCCUUGUCUAGUCUCCACACCCAGGCCUUCUGAAGUGGGUGUGACCUCAAAGUUCACUGAUCCCACCUUCCCUAACGAGCAUGUAUUUCUUGCUGUACUUCUACCCAGUCCUGUUCACGAUUGUCAGGAAAGCCCCCACCCCAACCCCAAACCCCAUCUAGACCUCCCAGCUCUGUCAUCUGAGGCCUCAGCCUGCUCUCUGGAGAAGUGUGAGUCUACUGUGGGCUGGGCUUCAAGCCAGCUUUCCAUGUCAGUACUUGUCUAUUUUCCCACGUGGGGUUCCGAAGACCCCCAAUACACAGGGAGCUCCCAAAAGGGCAAACUGAAGAAGUUCAAAGCACCCCCCAGACUCCAGUAGCUUGAAGAGGGGAAUGGGGUUCCUAUCUCCCUGGCCUCAGGAGAGUCUGGUCAACAUGGAACCAUGGAAAUCAUGAAAUGUUUUGGCUUUGCCCUCUGCUGCCUUGGGAACUCACUAUUUGUAUAUCUUCUUCCUGCAGGGGUGUGACUUGUGACCUGCACCCUAGGACUGGGCUCUGAUUGAACUCUCCUUGACUCCUGUCUCAACACAAACAUCAUUGAGCCCAGCGAGGAGGGAGGACUGAUUCCCCCCACCUACCCCACCCCCAGAUUCUCACAGCCGCAGCUUCUCAUCUGGGCCAGGCCUGGCAAACCAGAACCCAGACUUUGCCUCCAGCCCGGGGAACUCCCCACCCCGUACUCCAGCUCUUCUGCUUUGGAUCCUGCUUCCCACCAACCCAGAGCCCAGGGGCCUGGAGCGGCUGCCAUGACACUGUUUCUUACGUCCAGAUCCAAGCACCCUGACCCAUCCGGCACUUCGAGGAGUGCUCGACCGUAAAGAGUUGCCCAGCCUGCACAGAUUUUACCUGAGCCAGAGAGAGAAACUUGCAAAGUCAAAGGCUGCUUGCUUGGUGUAGCAGGCUAUCCCAGCUUGUCCUGGAGGUUUCCAGAUUGUGUUGCAGACCUGUGGGUGGGACUUCUCCAAGACAGAAGCUGCUCCGCUCCUUGCUGAGCAGCUGUGAGUUCAUGCUCCCAGCUGUCACUCAAGUCGGCUUCCUCCAAACUCUCAGUCUCCAGCCUCAGUAGGUGAAGUUCAUCCCGGGACACUGUUGUUUCUGUAUUUGUGGCGCUCAAAUGUCCACGUGUAUCAGGAUGGGACAGUGGAGCUGUACAAACUCUGUCUCAGUAGAUGUUAUGGACUGAAGGUAUCCCCCAAAUUCCUGUGUUGAAAUCUUAAGCCCCAACAUGAUAUUAUUACCAGGUAGGGCCUUCGAUGAGGUCACAAAAGCAGAGCCCCCCCCAUAAGAUAAUAAGAAAGUGCCCACAGAGAGCUCUCCCACCCUCUUUUUAGAGAAGUCAGUCAUUACAGCCUUGAAGAGCGUCCGUACCCAAACUGACCAUGUAACGCUCUGGUAGCCACCUCUAGACUUGGGAACAGUGAGGGUAAACUUCUAUUGUUUAUAAGCUGUGCAGUUUAUGACACUUUGUUAUAGAAGCAAAACUGGACUAAAGUGAGAAAGCAUUUCAUAGCAAGACCUGCAAAUUUGCAUUUUCAGCAAGUUUGGGUGGGGGAUGGAGGGUGCAGCUACAGGUUCUCUGGGGACCAAUAAGUGCUCUGUAUAUCCUGCCAGAUCUCUCCAAGAGCCUGCUAGCCCAGGCUGUGUGUCAACGCAGAGGCACACUGCUCUGCUGAACUCCAGAAUCAGACCCUAUAGUCCGAAUUCCCAUGUCAAGCUGGGCUGGCCUAGGAACUGGCCAUCCAUGAACUGUGAGCCACCUUUGGCCUCAUGCAGGGUUGGUCCCAGUGGUGAAGGUGCUUGGGAAAUGCUUACUGAGUACCCAGAGCAGGAAGAAUGCCUCAUCAUAGCCUGCUGAAAUCUCUCUAAUCUCCAGGAAGAUGCCAGGGUAGCACACCCUGUGGGCAACAGGGCCAGUGCCGGCUCCCAGACAUGGUAAAACUGGUGUGGGAAUGGAGGCAGGGCUGGGGCACAUCUUCCCCUGAGAACGCUAAGCAUGGGAACCCAUGCCUGUGGGCUGUCCUGGUUGUCCCUGUAAAGAACCAGCUGUCAAGCCUGUGCCUGUAGUUGGAUUUAUGAGCGGCUUCUCGUGCUUCACAUAGGCUGAUGCUGAUUUCCUGGGAAAGACUGUGCUGUCUCAGGUUUUGCACACACAGACAGGAGAGUGCAUGCUUGGCUGCGUGGUAGGUAGGUGGCAGGGCCUUGGCUUCCUGGGGGGUCUUCUGAGCCAGGUCCCAAGCACUUCUGCCAGAAAUGGCUGCAUUCCAUUUCUGAGUGCCACCUCCUGGACUCAUGGUGGAUUCAUGCUGGACUCAUGGUGGCUGAUACCAUGACCCCUCAUUCAUCCCUGCUGGGCUCCAGUCUUCAGAGGGUCUGGGCAGGCACUUGCCUGUUUGGCACUGCUUGAACCGCUUGUCAGAUUGGGUACUUCCGGUCAUUAGAAUGGAGGCUUGGUAGUUUCAUGCCCUAUGUCCCAGGAGAAAGUUAACCCUGAUGCAUGUCUGUGAGGCCUUCGCAAUCCUCCUCCCACUCCCAGUCAGGCCCAUCUCCUGUUUCUUUUCUGUUUCUUUUCACUGUUUACAAAGUGCUCUUAAAAAAAAAAAAAAAAAAAGAUUA